GAUGAACGCUGGCGGCGUGCCUAAUACAUGCAAGUCGAGCGAAUGGAUUAAGAGCUUGCUCUUAUGAAGUUAGCGGCGGACGGGUGAGUAACACGUGGGUAACCUGCCCAUAAGACUGGGAUAACUCCGGGAAACCGGGGCGAAUACCGGAUAACAUUUUGAACCGCAGGGUUCGAAAUUGAAAGGCGGCUUCGGCUGUCACUUAUGGAGGGACCCGCGUCGCAUUAGCUAGUUGGUGAGGUAACGGCUCACAAAGGCAACGAUGCGUAGCCGACCUGAGAGGGUGUUCGGCCACACUGGGACUGAGACACGGCCCAGACUCCUACGGGAGGCAGCAGUAGGGAAUCUUCCGCAAUGGACGAAAGUCUGACGGAGCAACGCCGCGUGAGUGAUGAAGGCUUUCGGGUCGUAAAACUCUGUUGUUAGGGAAGAACAAGUGCUAGUUGAAUAAGCUGACACCUUGACGGUACCUAACCAGAAAGCCACGGCUAACUACGUGCCAGCCGCCGCGGUAA
rnacentral:rRNA from 1 species